rnacentral:rRNA from 1 species
GAUGAACGCUGGCGGCGUGCCUAAUACAUGCAAGUCGAGCGAACGGACGAGAAGCUUGCUUCUCUGAUGUUAGCGGCGGACGGGUGAGUAACACGUGGAUAACCUACCUAUAAGACUGGGAUAACUUCGGGAAACCGGAGCUAAUACCGGAUAAUAUUUUGAACCGCAUGGUUCAAAAGUGAAAGACGGUCUUGCUGUCACUUAUAGAUGGAUCCGCGCUGCAUUAGCUAGUUGGUAAGGUAACGGCUUACCAAGGCAACGAUGCAUAGCCGACCUGAGAGGGUGAUCGGCCACACUGGAACUGAGACCCGCCCCAGCCUCCUACGGGGGGCAGCAGGAGGGAUUCUUCCGCAAGGGGCGAAAGCCUGACGGAGCAACGCCGGGUGAGUGAUGAAGUUCUUCGUAUCGUAAACCUCUUUUAUUAGGGAAGAACAUAUGUGUAAGUAAUUGUGCACAUCUUGACGGUCCCUAAUCAGAAACCCACGGCUAACUACGUC